AGCAGCCGCGGUAAUUCCAGCUCCAAUAGCGUAUAUUAAAGUUGUUGCAGUUAAAAAGCUCGUAGUUGAAUUUCGGGAUUGACGUGAUGGUCGUGCCUUACGGGGUAUGAACUGUUGCUGUUGAUUUCUCACCUUCUGGAGAAACUUGAUGUCCUUAAUUGGGUGUCUUGCGGAUCCAGGACCUUUACCUUGAAAAAAUUAGAGUGUUUAAAGCAGGCAUUUUGCUCGAAUACAUUAGCAUGGAAUAAUAGAAUAGGACGGCAUGGUUCUAUUUUGUUGGUUUCUAGGAUCACCGUAAUGAUUAAUAGGGAUAGUUGGGGGCAUUAGUAUUCAAUUGUCAGAGGUGAAAUUCUUGGAUUUAUUGAAGACUAACUACUGCGAAAGCAUUUGCCAAGGAUGUUUUCAUUAAUCAAGAACGAAAGUUAGGGGAUCGAAGACGAUCAGAUACCGUCGUAGUCUUAACCAUAAACUAUGCCGACUAGGAAUCAGACGAUGUUAAUUUUUUAAUGACUCGUUUGGC
rnacentral:misc_RNA from 2 species